GUGACAGCCGCCGCGGUAAUACGAAGGAUUCGAGCGUUAUCCGGAUUUAUUGGGUUUAAAGGGUGCGUAGGUGGAUUAAUAAGUCAGUGGUGAAAGCCCGGAGCUCAACUCCGGAACUGCCAUUGAUACUGUUAAUCUUGAGUACAGUUGAGGUGGGCGGAAUGUGUCAUGUAGCGGUGAAAUGCUUAGAUAUGACACAGAACACCGAUUGCGAAGGCAGCUCACUAAGCUGUAACUGACACUGAGGCACGAAAGUGUGGGUAGCAAACAGGAUUAGAAACCCCGGUAGUCC
rnacentral:rRNA from 1 species